CGAAAGCCUGACGGAGCAAGACCGCGUGAGGGAGGAAGGCUCUUGGGUUGUAAACCUCUUUUCUCAAGGAAGAACACAAUGACGGUACUUGAGGAAUCAGCAUCGGCUAACUCCGUGCCAGCAGCCGCGGUAAUACGGAGGAUGCAAGCGUUAUCCGGAAUGAUUGGGCGUAAAGCGUCCGCAGGUGGUGAUGUAAGUCUGCUGUCAAAGCGUCUAGCUCAACUAGAUACAGGCAGUGGAAACUACAUGACUAGAGUGCGUUCGGGGCAGAGGGAAUUCCUGGUGUAGCGGUGAAAUGCGUAGAGAUCGGGAAGAACAUCGGUGGCGAAAGCGCUCUACUGGACCACAACUGACACUCAGGGACGAAAGCUAGGGGAGCG
rnacentral:rRNA from 1 species